rnacentral:rRNA from 1 species
AUUGAACGCUGGCGGCAUGCCUAACACAUGCAAGUCGAACGGUAGAGGCUUCGGCCUUGAGAGUGGCGGACGGGUGAGUAACGCGUAGGAAUCUGCCUCGUAGUGGGGGAUAACCCGGGGAAACCCGGGCUAAUACCGCAUACGCUCCACGGAGGAAAGUGGGGGACCUUCGGGCCUCGCGCUAUGAGAUGAGCCUGCGUCCGAUUAGCUGGUUGGCGGGGUAAAGGCCCACCAAGGCGACGAUCGGUAGCUGGUCUGAGAGGAUGAUCAGCCACACUGGAACUGAGACACGGUCCAGACUCCUACGGGAGGCAGCAGUGGGGAAUAUUGGACAAUGGGCGCAAGCCUGAUCCAGCAAUGCCGCGUGUGUGAAGAAGGCCUGCGGGUUGUAAAGCACUUUGAGUGGGAAAGAAGGCCCCAAGGCCAACACCCUUGGGGAUUGACGUUACCCACAGAACAAGCACCGGCUAACUCCGUGCCAGCAGCCGCGGUAAUACGGAGGGUGCGAGCGUUAAUCGGAAUUACUGGGCGUAAAGCGCACGUAGGCGGCCCGCUAAGUCAGCCGUGAAAGCCCCGGGCUCAACCUGGGAACGGCGGUUGAUACUGGCGAGCUAGAGUGUGGCAGAGGGUGGCGGAAUUUCCGGUGUAGCAGUGAAAUGCGUAGAGAUCGGAAGGAACACCAGUGGCGAAGGCGGCCAUCUGGGCCAACACUGACGCUGAGGAGCGAAAGCGUGGGGAGCAAACAGGAUUAGAUACCCUGGUAGUCCACGCCGUAAACGAUGAGAACUAGCCGUCGGGUCCAAUCGAGGGUUUGGUGGCGCAGCUAACGCGAUAAGUUCUCCGCCUGGGGAGUACGGCCGCAAGGUUA